CGCUCCUUGGUUAUUUGUUCAAUAACAAUAGAAUUAAAAAUAUUUAUAGGGAGUCGGACCUGCCCGGUGACAUAUGUUAAACGGCCGCGGUACUCUGACCGUGCAAAGGUAGCAUAAUCAUUUGCCUUUUAAUUAAAGGCUAGUAUGAAUGGUUUGACGAGAGCUAAGCUGUCUCUUUUAAAAUAUAAAAAAACUAAUUUCUAGGUGAAGAAGCCUAGAUUUAAUUGAGGGACAAGAAGACCCCUUUGAGCUUUAGUAAUUUAAUAAAAACGACUCAUGUAUCGUUACGAUAUAUUAAUAUUGUAUUAAUAUAAAUACUAUUUAUUAAAAAUCUUUAGUUGGGGCGACUAAGGAACACAUCAAGCUUCCUCUAAAAUUUAUUAACAGAAAAUCAAUUUAUAAAAUGAUCCAGCACUUUGUUGAUCAAAGAAAAAAGUUACCGUGGGGAUAACAGCGUAAUCCUUCUAAAGAGUUCAUAUCGAAAGAAGGGUUUGCGACCUCGAUGUUGGACUAAGAUAUCCUGGGGGUGCAGAAGCUCCUAAUGGUUAGUCUGUUCGACUAUUAAAAUCUU
rnacentral:rRNA from 1 species